GAAUGCCCAGAAAUACAUUCAGGAGAGCUGGGAAGAACUGAGCAAGCCUCCAGACCUCAGCAAGUGCCAGUACUGUAUCUGUCUACAGACAGGUUUUAGGUAGGCUCGGUGUCAGUUGCCUAUAGCUUUUGUGACCAUUCCACCCCACUCUUGCCCCAUACCCUGAACUAAAGUCCAACAGGCAAUGGGUGCCCUUGGGCUCAAGAAAUGAGUCCCGGCUUUGUCCUCAAUUGGUCAGCAGGACUUUCUGGACAAGAUGGAACUUUCCAGGUGAGACAGGGUCCAGAUUAUCAUGGAAUCAAGUCAAGAAUUCUGUCAGUCUGUAUCCCCUCUCUGGGCCUACUUCCUCUCAUCUGGGUUCCCUCUGCACUCUCCCCAAAUUUUUACUGCCUAAAAAUUACUUGGUUUAUAAAUAUUUGUGUAGAUGGGUAGAGUUGUGUAGGCGUAUAAGUCCGCAUAUAUGCACAUGUGUGUUAUGUGCUGUGAUGAGCAACUGCAUGGACCAGCAUCCCACAGUGUUGCCGGUCUGCUGCUGUCAGUCAGCAUCACCCUGGACGUUACUACUAUAUCCUGCGGUGCCUCUUAACAGACUGUGGGAACUAGGGAUGGAGCUGCUGGAUGGAGCUGGCCCCUAGUGUUCUGUUUACCCGAUGCCUCAUCAUUCACACCAGCACACAGGCAGCUGCAGUAACUUCAGAUCUGAGCACCCAGCCUGCUGUAAAUCAGGAGGGUAGAGUCUGUGGCUGGAAAGGAAAACUCGGCUCCUUUCUUCUUGUUUCUUCCAAUCAAGCUGUGGGGUUUUCUGAGUGGGGGGAGGUCUGUGUCUCCAGCCUUCUUCCACACAGUCAUGCUUUUCACAGCUAUCUGAUGUGAAUGGCUGCCUGCUGGCUAUUGGCAUCUUAAAAAUGUUUAUAUGUGCAAUCCCCAGACCGUUAUCUCCCUUCCACAUGGGGCCCACUUGAGCAGUCAGCCAGUUACCCUCGUAUUGACUUUCUUUCUUCCUGUUGAUAUGACUGACAGGAGAGUCUCUGCUGGAUAUACUCGAUUAGUCUCCUGGGAACUUGGUAAAAGUUGCAGGCAUGCUGUCGGGGCGAGAGGGAGACAAUCCUGCAGCAGAAGUUUAUGAGAUGAGAGUUUCUCUUCUGAUGUCCCCUUAAUUUCCAGUUUUCCCAUUCUGUCUCAAGAGGAAAGGCACUACUCCUAGUUAGUGCCAGUGGAAGAUGAGGAAAAUGGAGGUUUAGAAGCUAUUGUUUAAAAUGACUUGAACAGUGCUCGCUUCGGCAGCACAUAUACUAAAAUUGGAAAGAUACAGAGAAGAUUAACAUGGCCCCUGUGCAAGGAUGACAUGCAAGUUCGUGAAGCAUUCCAUAUUUUUACAAAGUUUGGAGCUGAGAUGAAAGGAUGAGCCAUACAGAGACUGCUGCACCCGGGAAUCCAUCCCAUAAUCAGCCACCAAACCCAGACACUAUUGCUUACACCAGCAAGAUUUUGCUGAAAGGACCCUGAUAUAGCUGUCUCUUGGGAGGCUAUGCCAGUGCCUGGCAAACACAGAAGUGGAUGCUCACAGUCAGCUAUUGGAUGGAACACAGGGCCCCCAAUGGAGGAGCUAGAGAAAGUACCCAAGGAGCUAAAGGGAUCUGCAAUCCUAUAGGUGGAACAACAAUAUGAACACUAAUAGAGCUCGUGUCUCUAGCUGCAUAUGUAACAGAAGAUGGCCUAGGCGGCCAUCAUUGGGAAGAGAGGCCCCUUGGUCUUACAAACUUUAUAUGCCCCAGUACAGGGGAACACCAGGGCCAAGAAGUGAGAGUGGGUGGGUAGGGGAACAGGGGGCAAGGAGGGUAUAGGGGACUUUUGGGAUAGCAUUUGAAAUGUAAAUGAAGAAAAUACCUAAUAAAAAUUGGAAAAAAAUGACUUGAA